rnacentral:rRNA from 1 species
UACGUAGGGUGCGAGCGUUAAUCGGAAUUACUGGCGUAAAGCGUGCGCAGGCGGUUCGUUAAGUCAGAUGUGAAAGCCCCGGGCUCAACCUGGGAACUGCAUUUGAAACUGGCGGCUUGAGUGUGGCAGAGGGGGUGGAAUUCCGCGUGUAGCAGGUGAAAUGCGUAGAGAUGCGGAGGAACACCGAUGGCGAAGGCAGCCCCUGGGCCAACACUGACGCCUCAGGCACGAA